rnacentral:rRNA from 1 species
GCAGCAGUGGGGAAUCUUGCACAAUGGAGGAAACUCUGAUGCAGCGAUGCCGCGUGAGUGAAGAAGGCCUUUGGGUUGUAAAGCUCUUUCGUNCGGGGAAGAAANAUNNGACUGUACCCGAAUAAGAAGGUCCGGCUAACUUCGUGCCAGCAGCCGCGGUAAUACGAAGGGACCUAGCGUAGUUCGGAAUUACUGGGCUUAAAGAGUUCGUAGGCGGUUGAAAAAGUUGGUGGUGAAAUCCCAGAGCUUAACUCUGGAACUCCCAUCAAAACUUUUCAGCUAGAGUGUGACAGAGGANAAGCUGAAUUUCUAGUGUAGAGGUGAAAUUCGUAGAUAUCAGAAUGAAUACCAAUUGCGAUGGCAGCUUUNCUCGAUCAUUACUGACACUGAGGAACGAAAGCAUGGGUAGCGAAGAGGAUUAGAUUCCCUCGGUGUGUCACACACUGUCUNUCGACGUCGGANAGAGCGUUGCAA